CUACGGGCCGCACCAGUGAGGAAUAUUGCACAAUGGGGGGAACCCUGAUGCAGCAACGCCGCGUGGAGGAUGACGCAUUUCGGUGUGUAAACUCCUUUUAUAUGUCAAGAAAAUGACGGUAGCAUAUGAAUAAGCACCGGCAACUCCGUGCCAGCAGCCGCGGUAAUACGGAGGGUGCAAGCGUUACUCGGAAUCACUGGGCGUAAAGGACGCGUAGGCGGGUUGGAAAGUCAGGUGUGAAAUCCUACAGCUUAACUGUAGAACUGCACUUGAAACUUCUAAUCUAGAGUAUGGGAGGGGGAGAUGGAAUUAGUGGUGUAGGGGUAACAUCCGUAGAUAUCACUAGGAAUACCUAAAGCGAAGGCGAUCUCCUGGAACAUUACUGACGCUAAGGCGUGAAAGCGUGGGGAGCAAACAGGAUUAGAUACCCCAGUAGUC
rnacentral:rRNA from 1 species